GACGAACGCUGGCGGCGUGCUUAACACAUGCAAGUCGAACGGAAAGGCCCUGCUUUUGUGGGGUGCUCGAGUGGCGAACGGGUGAGUAACACGUGAGUAACCUGCCCUUGACUUUGGGAUAACUUCAGGAAACUGGGGCUAAUACCGGAUAGGAGCUCCUGCUGCAUGGUGGGGGUUGGAGAGUUUCGGCGGUUGGGGAUGGUCUCGCGGCUUAUGAGCUUGUUGGUGGGGUAGUGGCUUACCAAGGGUUUGACGGGUAGGCGGCCUGAGAGGGUGACCGGCCACAUUGGGACUGAGAGACGGCCCAGACUCCUACGGGAGGCAGCAGGGGGGAAUAUUGCACAAUGGGCGGAAGCGAGAUGCAGCAACGCCGCGUGCGGGAUGACGGCCUUCGGGUUGUAAACCGCUUUCGCCGGUGACGAAGCGUGAGUGACGGUAAUGGGUAAAGAAGCACCGGCUAACUACGUG
rnacentral:rRNA from 1 species